rnacentral:rRNA from 1 species
AUUGAACGCUGGCGGCAUGCCUUACACAUGCAAGUCGAACGGCAUCACGGGUGCUUGCACCUGGUGUCGAGUGGCGCACGAGUGAGUAAUACAUCGGAACAUGUCCUGUAGUGGGGGAUAGCCCGGCGAAACCCGGAUUAAUACCGCAUACGAUCUACGGCAUAAAGCGGGGGACCUUCGGGCCUCGCGUUCUAGGGUUGGCUGGUGGCUGACUAGCUUGUUGGUGGGGCAAAGGCCUACCAAGGCGACGAUCAGUAGCUGGUCUGAGAGGACGACCAGCCACACGGGGACUGAGAAUCGGCCCAGACUCCUACGGGAGGCAGCAGUGGGGAAUUUUGGACCAUGGGCGAAAGCCUGAUCCAGGAAUGCCGCGUGUGUGAAGAAGGCCUUCGGGUUGUAAAGCACUCUUGUCCGGAAAGAAAUCCUUGGCCCUAAUACGGUCGGGGGAUGACGGUACCGGAAGAAUAAGCACCGGCUAACUACGUG